AAUACAUGCAAGUCGAACGGUAACAUAAGAAAAGCUUGCUUUUCUUGAUGACGAGUGGCGGACGGGUGAGUAAUAUUUGGGAAACUACCUGAUAGAGGGGGACAACAGUUGGAAACGACUGCUAAUACCGCAUACAGCCUCAGGGUGAAAGAAGCGAUUCGCUAUCAGAUGUGCCCAAACGGGAUUAGCUAGUAGGUGAGGUAAAGGCUCACCUAGGCGACGAUCCCUAGCUGGUUUGAGAGGAUGAUCCGCCACACUGGGACUGAGACACGGCCCAGACUCCUACGGGAGGCAGCAGUGGGGAAUAUUGGACAAUGGGGGGAACCCUGAUCCAGCCAUGCCGCGUGAGUGAUGAAGGCCUUAGGGUUGUAAAGCUCUUUCGCCGGUGAAGAUAAUGACGGUAACCGGAGAAGAAGCCCCGGCUAACUUCGUGCCAGCCGCCGCAGUAAGAC
rnacentral:rRNA from 1 species